CGGACGGGUGAGUAACGCGUGGGUAACCUGCCUUGUACUGGGGGACAACAGUUGGAAACGACUGCUAAUACCGCAUAAGCGCACAGCUUCGCAUGAAGCAGUGUGAAAAACUCCGGUGGUACAAGAUGGACCCGCGUCUGAUUAGCUGGUUGGUGAGGUAACGGCCCACCAAGGCGACGAUCAGUAGCCGGCCUGAGAGGGCGAACGGCCACAUUGGGACUGAGACACGGCCCAA
rnacentral:rRNA from 1 species